GCGAGCGUAGUUCAAUGGUAGAACAAUAGCCUUCCAAGCUAUAUAUGUCGGUUCGAUUCCGAUCGCUCGCU
rnacentral:tRNA from 2 species